rnacentral:tRNA from 1 species
GGGGAAUUAGCUCAGUUGGCUCAGAGCACCUGCCCUGCACGCAGGGGGUCGCGGGUUCGAGUCCCACAUUCUCCACCA